AGAGUUUGAUCAUGGCUCAGAUUGAACGCUGGCGGCAUGCCUUACACAUGCAAGUCGAGCGGCAGCGCGGGGGCAACCCUGGCGGCGAGCGGCGAACGGGUGAGUAAUGCAUCGGAACGUGUCCUCUUGUGGGGGAUAACCAGUCGAAAGACUGGCUAAUACCGCAUGAGAUCGAGAGAUGAAAGCAGGGGACCGCAAGGCCUUGCGCGAGAGGAGUGGCCGAUGCCGGAUUAGCUAGUUGGUGGGGUAACGGCCUACCAAGGCGACGAUCCGUAGCUGGUCUGAGAGGACGACCAGCCACACUGGGACUGAGACACGGCCCAGACUCCUACGGGAGGCAGCAGUGGGGAAUUUUGGACAAUGGGGGCAAUCCUGAUCCAGCCAUGCCGCGUGUGUGAAGAAGGCCUUCGGGUUGUAAAGCACUUUCGGCCGGAACGAAAUCGCGCGAUCUAAUAAGUCGCGUGGAUGACGGUACCGGAAGAAGAAGCACCGGCUAACUACGUGCCAGCAGCCGCGGUAAUACGUAGGGUGCGAGCGUUAAUCGGGAAUUACUGGGGCGUAAGUGUGCGCAGGUGGCCGCGCAUGUCGAGUGUGAAAUCCCCGGGCUUAACU
rnacentral:rRNA from 1 species